AGCGGAUUAUGUUAAAUGUGAACAGUCAAAAAUUACUUUUAUGGUUCAAUAAAUUCAAAAUAAAUUAUUGCCAUUCAUUAUAAAUAAAUUUCUAUCAAAAAUAAUGCUCAAAGAUAUAUAUUAAUACCAAUAACAACGUUCACAGAUGUUUGCGUAUGAAUACACAACGUUAGAGUGGGCGUGUCUCCAUAAAAAUUGAUAACAUUGAAAAUAAAGCCAAUUCUUUUAGCCAAUCAGAAGACAGUAAAUACACCAAAGAGGUAGAGCCGAUUUGCCGAGGAUUUGUUUCAUUCGAUAAGAUAGGUAAUUCAUGUUUUAAAUAGCCCGACCGAUGCUAAUUAUAGUACACGAAAAUACGUCACAUCAUCUAUUUCCAUACCUUGAACAGGUAUUCCUACAGUAACAAGGCCAAGACUAUUGAUUUUUUAAUAUUGAUUCUAUUCUAUUAUUAACAUCCUUUAUGCAAG
rnacentral:lncRNA from 1 species